AUUGAACGCUGGCGGCAGGCCUAACACAUGCAAGUCGAGCGGAGCGGCGGACGGGUGAGUAAUGCCUAGGAAUCUGCCUGGUAGUGGGGGAUAACGUCCGGAAACGGGCGCUAAUACCGCAUACUAUCAGAUGAGCCUAGGUAGGAUUAGCUAGUUGGUGGGGGAAAGGCCUACCAAGGCGACGAUCCGUAACAGGUCUGAGAGGAUGAGCAGUCACACUGGAUGUGAGACACUGUCCAGACUCCUACGGGAGGAAUCAGUGGGGAAUAUUGGACAAGGGGCGAAAGCCUUGUCCAUCCAUGCCGCGUGUGUGAAGAAGGUCUUCGGAUUGUAAAGCACUUUAAGUUGGGAGGCGUUACCAACAGAAUAAGCACCGGCUAACUUCGUGCCAGCAGCCGCGGUAAUUC
rnacentral:rRNA from 1 species